GCGCGGUCGAGGGGCGCGCCACCGCCGGUGGGUGGACGCCGAGCUGGUGGGAGCCCAGGCCAAGGGUGGAGGCCAAGCCCAGAAGGGGGCGGGGAGGCCUCAAAGUGGGAAAGUGGCCCCGUCCCUUCCCGGCAGGAAUCCGGGGCUCCUCCUCCGCCCGCUGCGCAGCCAUCAAUCACCGCGACAGCCCAAGUGCCCCCUGCCCGGACACAACAACCCUCCUGCUUUUCCACCCGGGGGAGGAAAUCUCCGGUCGGAGCAUCUGCCCUGCACACUGGCUGGACUCACCAGUGGGGUCCGCGCUGGGGAUCAAAGCUGUGCGACACCGGGUCUGACCCGCGCGCUCAGGCGCAGGGAGCACUUGACACCCCACAGGCAGCCCUGCAGAUAGUAGCAGAGGAGACUUGGAUUUCAUUGGUGUUGGUUUUCGUGAUUCCUGCCUUCUAAAAUCCCAAGACUUAUUUAUCAUUUAUCAUCAGCUCAGAUCCCAGGAAAACAGUCCACUGCACUUCGGUUUCUGCUCCAAGUCACCCAUUAAAUAAAUAAUUGAACACCUGCUGGUGCCAGGCGCAGUUCUAAUGCUUGGGAUAUGUCGGUGAACAAAGCAAAGGUCUCCCUCACCUGGGGGAGCUGAAGGCCUGCGGGGAAGAAGUGGGAGACAGAGGGUAAACCAUGGCCAUCCCUAAGUAAAUUAUUUGGGGUGUUGGAAGAGGUCGGUGAUAGGGAAAACAAGAAAAAGAAUAUGGGGGCCCAGAGUGCUUGUGUCUGGAGCAGGUCACAGAAUUAAAUAGAUGGUGUGUGUCAGGCCUCUGAGCCCAAGCCAAGCCAUCGCAUCCCCUGUGACUUGCACGUAUACAUCCAGAUGGUCUGAAGUAACUGAAGAUCCACAAAAGAAGUAAACAUAGCCUUAACUGAUGACAUUCCACCAUUGUGAUUUGUUCCCGCCCCACCCUAACUAAUCAAUGUACUUUGUAAUCUCCCCCACCCUUAAGAAGGUUCUUUGUAAUUCUCCCCACCCUUGAGAAUGUACUUUGUGAGAUCCACCCCUGCCCACAAAACAUUGCUCUUAACUUCACCGCCUAUCUCAAAACCUAUAAGAACUAAUAAUAAUCCACCACUCUUUGCUGACUCUCUGUUUGGACUCAGCCCACCUGCACCCAGGUGAAAUAAACAGCCAUGUUGCUCACACAAAGCCUGUUUGGUGGUCUCUUCACACGGACGCGCAUGAAAUUUGGUGUCGUGACUCAGAUUGGGGGACCUCCCUUGGGAGAUCAAUCCCCUGUCCUCCUGCUCUUUGCUCUGUGAGAAAGAUCCACCUACGACCUCAGGACCGACCAGCCCAAGAAACAUCUCACCAAUUUCAAAUCCAGUAAGCGGCCUCUUUUUACUCUCUUCUCCAACUUGCCUCACUAUCCCUCAACCUCUUUCUCCUUUCAAUCUUGGCGCUACACUUCAAUCUCUCCCUUCUCUUAAUUUCAAUUCCUUUCAUUUUCUGGUAGAGACAAAAGAGACACGUUUUAUCCGUGGACCCAAAACUCCGGCGCCGGUCACGGACUGGGAAGGCAGCCUUCCCUUGGUGUUUAAUCAUUGCAGGGAUGCCUCUGUGAUUAUACACCCACGUUUCAAGGGUGUCAGACCACGCAGGGACGCCUGCCUUGGUCCUUCACCCUUAGCGGCAAGUCCUGCUUUUCUGGGGAAGGGGCAAGUACCCCAACCCCUUCUCUCCUUGUCUCUACCCCUUCUCUGCCUUUCCUGGGGCAGGGGCAAGUACCCCUCAACCCCUUCUCCUUCACCCUUAGCGGCAAGUCCCGCUUUCCUAGGGGCAAGAACCUCCCAAUCGCUUAUUUCCGCACCCCAACCUCUUAUCUCUGUGCCCCAAUCCCUUAUUUCCGUGCCCCAACCCUUUCUCUGCUUUUCUGGAGGGCAAGAACUCCCCACCCCUUCUCCAUGUCUCUACUCUUUUCUCUGGGCUUGCCUCCUUCACUAUGGGUAGGCUUCCACCUUCCAUUCCUCCUUGUUCUCCCUUAGCCUGUGUUCUCAAAAACUUAAAACCUCUUCAACUCACACCUGACCUAAAACCUAAAUGCCUUAUUUUCUUCUGCAAUGCCGCUUGACCCCAAUACAAACUCGACAGUAGUUCCAAAUAGCUGGAAAACGGCGCUUUCAAUUUUUCCAUCCUACAAGAUCUAAAUAAUUCUUGUCGUAAAAUGGGCAAAUGGUCUGAGGUGCCUGACGUCCAGGCAUUCUUUUACACAUCAGUCCCUUCCUAGUCUCUGUGCCCCGUGCAACUCGUCCCAAAUCUUCCUUCUUUCCCUCCCUCCUGUCCCCUCAGUCCCAACCCCAAGCGGCGCUGAGUCUUUCUAAUCUUCCUCUUCUACAGACCCAUCUGACCUCUCCCCUCCGCGCCAGCCCAAGCUAGGUCCCAAUUCUUCCUCAGCCUCCGCGCCUCCCCUCCCUUCAUCCCACACCUGGUCCGACUUAUAGUUUCAUUCUGUGACUAGCCCUCCCCCACCUGCCCAGCAGUUUACUCUUAAAAAGGUGGCUGGAGCCAAAGGCAUAGUCAGGGUUAAUGCUCCUUUUUCAUUAUCCCAAAUCACAUAGCGUUUAGGCUCUUUUUCAUCAAAUAUAAAAACCCAGCCCAGUUCAUGGCUCGUUCGGCAGCAACCCUGAGACGCUUUACAGCCCUAGACCCUAAAAGGUCAAAAGGCCAUCUUAUUCUCAAUAUACAUUUUAUUACCCGAUCUGCUCCCGACAUUAAAUAAAACUCCAAAAAUUAAAUUCCGGCCCUCAAACCCCACAACAGGAUUUAAUUAACCUCGCCUUCAAGGUGUACAAUAAUAGAAAAAAGUUGCAAUUCCUUGGCUCCACUGUGAGACAAACCCCAGCCACAUCUCCAGCAUACAAGAACUUCCAAAUGCCUGAACCGCAGCGGCCAGGCGUUCUUCUAGAACCUCCUCCCCCAGGAGCUUGCUACAAGUGCCAGAAAUCUGACCACCAGGGCAAGGAAUGCCUGCAGCCCAGGAUUCCUCCUAAGCCGUGUCCCAUCUGUGCGGGACCCCACUGGAAAUUAGACUGUUCAACUCACCUGGCAGCCACUCCCCGAGCCCCUGGAACUCUGGCCCGAGGCUCUCUGACUGACUCCUUCUCGGCUUAGCGGCUGAAGACUGAUGCUGCCCGAUCGCCUCGGAAGCCCCGUAGGCCAUCACGGACGCCGAGCUUUGGGUAACUCUCAGAGUGGAAGGUAAGUCCGUCCCCUUCUUAAUCAAUAUGGAGGCUACCCACUCCACAUUACCUUCUUUUCAAGGGCCUGUUUCCCUUGCCUCCAUAACUGUUGUGGGUAUUGACAGCCAGGCUUCUAAACCUCUUAAAACUCCCCAACUCUGGUGCCAACUUAGACAACACUCUUUUAAGCACUCUUUUUUAGUUAUCUCCACCUGCCCACUUCCCUUAUUAGGCCGAGAUAUUUUAACCAAAUUAUCUGCUUCCCUGACUAUUCCUGGACUACAGCCGCAUCUCAUUGCUGCCCUUCUUCCCAAUCCAAAGCCUCCUUUGCGUCCUCCUCUUGUAUUCCCCCACCUUAACCCACAAGUAUAAGAGACCUCUACUCCCUCCUUGGUGACUGAUCACGCACCCCUUACCAUCUCAUUAAAACUGAAUCACCCUUACCCCGCUCAACGCCAAUAUCCUAUCCCACAGCAUGCUUUAAAAGGAUUAAAGCCUGUUAUCACUCGCCUGCUACAGCAUGGGCACCUAUAAACUCUCCUUACCAUUCCCCCAUUUCACCUGUCCUAAAACCAGGCAAGGCUUACAAGUUAGUUCAGAAUCUGCACCUUAUCAACCAAAUUGUUUUGCCUAUCCACCCUGUGGUGCCAAACCCAUAUACUCUCCUAUCCUCAAUACCUCCCUCUACUACCCAUUAUUCUGUUCUGGAUCUCAAACAUGCUUUCUUUACUAUUCCUUUGCACCCUUCAUCCCAGCCUCUCUUUGCCUUCACUUAGACUGACCCUGACACCCAUUAGGCUCAGUAAAUUACCUGGGCUGUACUGCCGCAAGGCUUCGCGGACAGCCCCCAUUACUUCAGUCAAGCCCAAAUUUCAUCCUCAUCUGUUACCUAUCUCGGCAUAAUUCUCAUAGAAACACAUGUGCUCUUCCUGCUGAUCAUGUCCGAUUAAUCUCCCAAACCUCAAUCCCUUACAAAAGAACAACUCCUUUCCUUCCUAGGCAUGGUUAGUGCGGUCAGAAUUCUUACACAAGAGCCAGGACCACACCGUGUAGCCUUUCUGUCCAAACAACUUGACCUUACUGUUUUAGCCUAGCCCUCAUGUCUGCGUGCAGCGGCUGCCGCUGCUUUAAUACCGUUAGAGGCCCUAAAAAUCACAAACUAUGCUCAACUCACUCUCUACAUUUCUCAUAACUUCCAAAAUCUAUUUUCUUCCUCAUACCUGACACAUAUACUUUCUGCUCCCCGGCUCCUUCAGCUGUACUCACUCUUUAAGUCCCACAAUUACCAUUGUUCCUGGCCCGGACUUCAAUCUGGCCUCCCACAUUAUUCCUGAUACCACACCUGACCCCCAUGACUGUAUCUCUCUGAUCCACCUGAUAUUCACCCCAUUUCCCCAUAUUUCCUUCUUUGCUGUUCCUCACCCUGAUCACGCUUGCCUCGUGCUAUCCCCAAACUGCCAUUCUUAACUCUUGAAGUAAAUAAUCUUUGCUGGCAGGGCUAUGCUGAAUCUCCUUAGGCACUCUCUAAUCAGAUGUCCUGAGUCGUCCCAAUUCUUAGACCUUUUAUACCUGUUUUUCUCCUUCUCUUAUUCCAUUUAGUUUUUCAAUUCAUACAAAACCAUAUCCAGGCCAUCACCAAUAAUUCUACACAACAAAUGUUUCUUCUAACAACCCCACAAUAUCACCCCUUACCACAAAAUCUUCCUUCAGCUUAAUCUCUCCCACUCUAGGUUCCCACGCCACCCCUAAUCCCGCUCGAAGCAGCCCUGAGAAACAUCGCCCAUUCUCUCUCCACACCAACCCCCACAAAUUUUCACCGCCCCAAGACUUCAACACUAUUUUGUUUUAUUUUUCUUAUUAAUAUAAGAAGGCAGGAAUGUCAGGCCUCUGAGCCCAAGCCAAGCCAUCGCAUCCCCUGUGACUUGCACGUAUACAUCCACGUGGCCUGAAGUAACUGAAGAUCCACAAAAGAAGUAAACAUAGCCUUAACUGAUGACAUUCCACCAUUGUGAUUUGUUCCCGCCCCACCCUAACUAAUCAAUGUACUUUGUAAUCUCCCCCACCCUUAAGAAGGUUCUUUGUAAUUCUCCCCACCCUUGAGAAUGUACUUUGUGAGAUCCACCCCGCCCACAAAACAUUGCUCUUAACUUCACUGCCUAACCCAAAACCUAUAAGAACUAAUAAUAAUCCACCACUCUUUGCUGACUCUCUUUUUGGACUCAGCCCACCUGCACCCAGGUGAAAUAAACAGCCAUGUUGCUCACACAAAGCCUGUUUGGUGGUCUCUUCACACAGACGCGCAUGAAAGUGUGGUCAGAGUAGUCCUCAGGGAAGGUGGGAUUUGAGCCGUAAGGGUUUGAGCAGAGGAUAACCUGAUCUGUUAUUGCUGAGAGCUCAGUCUAAUGCUGUUUGGAGAGCCCACUGUCCGGGCAGAGGUGGAAAUAAGCGAGGAGGCGAUUGAAAUAGUUCAGGCUAGAGAUGGUGGCUGGUAGCAGGCUCAGAGCAGGGGUGGUGGAGAGAGGUAGUUGGAUUCUUAAUUAUUUUGAAGGUUGAGCUGACAGCAAUUCCUAAGAGGUUGGAUACAUGGGCAAAAGGGAGAAGUGGACAGACAGGUAGACCUGGCCCCAUGUCCCUCUCUCUUCUCUUCCUUUUUCAGCUGCAGAGGGACCCGGUUUUAUAGAUAAAGGGUGCCAGAUUUGACCUCCCAUCUGAGGGUCCCAAGAGACUCAAGUGGCCGCUUCAGUCAGCUGCAGAGAGCACAAGUGCUCAUGGGGCACUUUUGCAGGCUUGGGGACCAGCUAGCCAAGAAAAUGUCAUUUCUAAUGAAGUUAUUUCCCCUUUAAAGUAAACCAAGCACUGUUGGUUCUGGAAGCAUUGCCCAGAGCUGGCAACUCAGCAAUUUGUUUCUCUCCUCUCCUCUCCUCUCUGCUGAGCAGAACAGGUAGAAGUGAGUGUCAUGUGUAAAUGAUUUGAAAAGUGCAAUUUUUUACUCUGGACCCUGCGCUAUAAAAUCAUCAUCAUAAUCAUUAUGGCAAUUCUUUUUUGUUGGUGGCUGCUGAUACUGGGUAACAUUACCCUGCUCAAGCACCAUAGCAUAGCUACCCCAGAAGACAGUAGAGAAUAUCAGAAGAUACUUAACUAUUUCCAUGUAUUAGAAAUUACCUAAACAGUGCUUAUAUAACUGCAUCUCCCUCUCCAAAGAUAUGGUUCACAAGAGAGAGGAGUUUCUAAGAAGGAAGGGACAUUGAAAAAGAUACAUUCUUUCUACUUUUUAACUUAUAUCUUUGUUUCAGAAUCUCAAAGAAAGGAGUCAGUGAUUAUCCCUGGAGUGUGGGAUUACUGGGCCCUUAACAUUUUUUUUUUCUUUUGGAGACAGUCUUUCUCAGUCACCCAGGCUGGAGUGCAGUGGUACAAUUUUGGCUCAUUGCAACAUCCACCACCCAGGCUUAAGUGAUCCUCUUACCUCAGCCUCCCAAGUAGCUGGGACUACAGGCGAGCACCAACAUGCCUGGCUAAUUUUUGUAUUUUUUGUAGAGACGGGGUUUCACCAUAUUGCCCAGGCUGGUCUCAAAAUCCUGGGCUCGAGUAAUCCGCCUCCCUUGACCUCCCACAGUGUUGGGAUUACAGGCAUGAGCCACUGUGCCUGGCAUGGGCCCUUAACUUUUCAAGUUGCAUGUUUAUGAAUUAUUUAAAUAUUUAAAAUAUUAUAUGAAUCCUUAGUUAAUCUGAAGAAAAAGCAUUACCGGAAAGGGAUCCCGAUCCAGGUCCCAAGAGAGGGCUCUUGGCUGUCAUGCAAGAAAAAAUUGGAGGCAAAUCCAUAGAGUAAAGUAAAAGCAAAGUUUCUUAGUAGCCGCUUAGGCUACUCAGCUGCUUAUGCUUAUUGUUACUUCCUGAUUAUAUGCUAAACAAGGAAUGGAUUAUUCAUGAGUUUUCCUGGAAAGCAAUAGGCAAUUCCUGGAGCUGAGGUUUCCUCCCCUUUUUAGUUCAUAUAGGGUAGCUUCCAGAUGUUACCAUGACAUCUGUAAACUUUAAUGGAGCUUGUGGGAGUGUCUUUUAGCAUGCUAAUGUAUUAUAAUUAGCAUAUAAAAAGCGAUGAGGACAACCAGAGGUCACUUUCAUCCCCAUCUCAGUUUUGGUGGGAUCUGGCGUGCUUCCUUACCACAUGCUGUUUUAUCAGCAAGGUCUUUGUGACCUGUAUCUUCUGCUGACCUCCUGUCUCAUCCUGUGACUAAGAAUGCCUUAAACUCCUGGGCAUGUCACCCAGUAGGUCUCAGCCUUAUUUUACCCAUCCCGUUUUCAAGAUGGAGUCGCUCUGGUGAGAGAAUUGAAAACACAAGUGUGAAGGCAAUCUUGUAUAUAAUUACUUAAGAUUUUGAUAUCCUCUUUGACUUUAGUAUUUAAAUCACUUAAAAAUUUCCAAGGGUUGAGAUUUCCUUGUUGUUGCUCUUUAAAUUUUUGUUAUUAGUUUCCAGGUUUAUUGCAUUGUGGUGAAGAAAUGUAGCUUGUUCAAUUUCUGCUUUUUUUUUUUUUUUUUGGAAAUUAAUUGGGGCUUUCUUUGUGAUCUAGUGUAUGACCAAUUUUGAAAAAAAAUCUCCAUAGUUAUCUGAACAAAAGGCAUAUUAAGCAAGCCCCAUAAUCUAGUUCUAGGCUGAGCAUGUAGUAGCUGUUAAAAAAUUGUUUAUUUUUUAACAAUUUUAACAUGUGAACAUGAGCAAUAAUUAAACGUUCAUUCAUCUUGCAUAUUUAUUCUAAGUCUUUAUGUCAUUUACUUUAUUAUUUCAUCUUCCAAACAGUCUUCUAGACUAUAUUCUGCCUUCUCCCCUACCCAUCUUUGUGAAGAAAAUGGAUUUAGGAUGGGUGUAUUAACAUCUUCCAUUUCAAUCAAAAUUCUGACAUUUUUCUUUGACUUUCAACUGCUCUUAUUCCAGCAUUUUCAUGCUGUGUUACACAGUACAUAAAUAUGUAUGUGUACUGUCACGUUGCCAUGGACUACAUAGUUAUUGGUGUAAUAAAACUCCUUUGCCCCAUUCAAUGUGUUUCCCUUGAUCUAUUCUUUGACUGAAAUUCAUAUCACGAUCCCUGCUUUCUUUGUCUUUGUGUCCAUGUAGUAAAUUUUUGUCCACCCUUUGUUUUAAGUCUCUCUGCAUCAUUUUAUUUUGAAAGAGUACAUUUAAAGCGACAUAUACCACGAUUGGAUUUUGUUUUAAACCCAACUAAUGAAUUUGGUUUAAUUUCUGCCAUCUUGUUUUAUGCUUUCUGGGUUUUAUGAAACCCUGCCAAUUCCUAAGUUCUGUGUUUUUGGUAAAACUGACUGUGCUCUAUUUCCUUAUAUAUUCUCCAGUCAUUUGGAAAGUAUAUUUGUUGUUUUAAACAUAGUGCUUCUUUUUUUUUUUUUUUCUUUUUGACAGAGUCUCACUCUGUCACCAGACUGGAGUGGAGUGGAGUGGAGUGGUGCGAUCUUGGUUCACUGCAACCUCCGCCUCCUGGGUUCAAGUGAUUUUCCUGCCUCAGCCUCUCGAAUAGCUGGGAGUACAGGUUCGCACCACCAUGCCCAGCUAAUUUUUGUAUUUUUAAUAGAGUCGGGGUUUCACCAUGUUGGCCAGGCUAGUCUCAAUCUCUUGACCUCAUGAUCCACCCAUCUCGGCCUCCCAAAGUGCUGAGAUUACAGGUGUGAGCCACUGAGCCUGGAGUCAUUUCUUUUUUAAAUAUAGAACUUUUGAUUACCUAAGGGGUGGCAAGGCACUGUCCUUGGUACUGUGGAUAUGUGAUGAAACAGAUCAAAUCUUUCCUUCAAUGUACUUAUCAUCCAACGGGGGGCAGACAAUAAACACGUGAACAAUUAAAUAUGAAGAUAGGCAGGGCAUGAUGCAUACCAUGAAUAAAACAAACAGAAUAGUGUGAGGAAGAGUGGCUGGGGGCUGACUUAAUUUGGGCUAUCAGAGAAGACCUCCCUGAGAAGGUUAUGCUUAAGCUGAGAUAGAUGACAACAAGGAUGCAGACAGAUGAGUACCUGAGAAAUAUUCCAGUCUAGGCAGAAGGAACAGCCAAAGACAAGGCCUUCAGGUGGGUGUCAAGGAAUAUGAAGAAGCCCACUGGGGCUGCAGCUAGAGGCUUAGGGAGAGUCCUCAGGGAGGGUUCCAGCAAGGAACAGCUCAAUCAGCUUUGUAUGUUUAAAAGUAGCCACAAAGAAGGCUGUAGGGAGAAAGGAUAGCAGGGAGGAGAUGGGCAAUGAAUGGUAGAAGGAGAAGUCUACCAAAGAGGUAGACUUGCAGUCCCCAGGCAAGGGAUGGUAGAUUGAUUAGGUAGAGGGUUAGAGAUGGAAUGGAGUGGGUGAAUUCAAGGUAAGCUUUGAAGGUAGGACCCACUGGGCAAGCUAUUUUACAUAUCCCUCCUGUAGUACAUUUGAAUACAAUUUGGAUUAUACUUUAGUUGAAUUUAGCUAUCAAUAAAUUUAUUAAACUUGUAGGGUGACUUAAAGUACCAAAUAUUUGCUUACAUUAGCUGAAAAUAUAUUGCCUCCUUUGAGAAUGUUUAAAAUAAGAAGUUAUAAUGAGAUAGUGGUGUUAAAAAAAAUGUGUCCGUGCAUGUAUAUAUGCAUGUGGGUAUGUGUUUACACUUUGUUAUGGUUUGAAUGUUUGUCCUCUCCAAAACUCAUGUUGACAUUUGAUUGCUACUGCAACAGUAUUAAAGGUGGGACCUUUAAGAGAUAAUUAGGCCAUGAGGGCUCAAGGCGGGAUAGAGGCCUUUAUAAAAGGGUGAGUUUGCCCCAUCUUGUUCUCUUUUGCCCUUCCACCUUCUGCCAUGUGAUGAUGCAGCAAGAAGGCCCUUGCCAGAUCCCAGCCCCUUGACCUUGGACUUCUCAGCCUCCAGAGCUGUAAGAAAUAAAUUUCUGUUCAUUAUAAAUUACCCAAUCUCAGGUAUUCUGUUAUAGCAACACAAAACAGACUAAGACAUACACUAAACCUUUCCUGCAAAUGUUUCAGAGGAUAAGGCUUCAGGGCACGUUGCAGAAGUCCCAUAAAGGGGAGGAAAAGAGAGAUCACACAUGGAUUUAGGCUUUCUGCUGAGUGCCUGGCUGAAAUGUGGGUCCCUUUAUUGAGAUGGGAGCAGUUUUAGGGGGUGGAAAAUAGAGUACCGGUUAUCUUUAAUUUACCUAAAAACUGCCUACCUUAACUACCAGGAUAAAAAAUACAUGGCUCUGCCUGUGUCAACAUGGAAUUUAUCAUGCUUCCCAGUUCCCUACUCACAGCCUAUGCCCAGCCUCCCUCUUCUUUCUCUAGUAUUUGUUUAUACACUCUAAACUUUAAAACAGAUAUUUGGAUUAGUGAAUCAUUAUUUUUAGACUAUAUGAGUUGUCUUUCAAGAAUUAUUUUGUAUCUACAAAUUUCAAUUCUAUUUAUAACAAUUACUUAGAUUUAAUUAUUUAUUUAAACUUGUUUAAAUAUCUACUCCCCCGUCUUUCAUAUCUUGUCUU
rnacentral:lncRNA from 1 species